rnacentral:rRNA from 1 species
GAUGAACGCUGGCGGCGUGCCUAAUACAUGCAAGUCGAGCGAACAGACGAGGAGCUUGCUCCUCUGACGUUAGCGGCGGACGGGUGAGUAACACGUGGAUAACCUACCUAUAAGACUGGGAUAACUUCGGAAACCGGAGCUAAUACCGGAUAAUAUAUUGAACCGCAUGGUUCAAUAGUGAAAGACGGUUUUGCUGUCACUUAUAGAUGGAUCCGCGCCGCAUUAGCUAGUUGGUAAGGUAACGGCUUACCAAGGCAACGAUGCGUAGCCGACCUGAGAGGGUGAGCGGCCACACUGGAACUGAGACACGGUCCAGACUCCUACGGGAGGCAGCAGUAGGGAAUCUUCCGCAAUGGGCGAAAGCUUGACGGAGCAACGCCGCGUGAGUGAUGAAGGUCUUCGGAUCGUAAAACUCUGUUAUUAGGGAAGAACAAAUGUGUAAGUAACUAUGCACGUCUUGACGGUACCUAAUCAGAAAGCCACGGCUAACUACGUG